UCACGGAGUAUGCACGGGAGAUCUGGG
rnacentral:piRNA from 1 species